GGUUGGGCAGGCAACUGCUUUCAAGUUUCGAGCUUAAGGGUGGAGAGCU
rnacentral:ncRNA from 1 species